rnacentral:lncRNA from 1 species
GCCGUGGAUGGAAAAAAAGCUCUGCCCCUCCAGAAACAUUCUGUCUCUGUGUCCCCCUCCCCCAGGCCCCCCUCCACGCCUGGUGCGAGGGGUUGAGGGGGAAGGAGAAGGGGGAAGAGGCCUCACUUGGUAGGACCCGGUUCAGUUUACACGCAGGCAAGAGGGUAUUUCUUCCAGAGCAUCAUUUGUCUCCAAGUGACUGACACAGGAACCCGAUGUGAAGGCGAUUUGCAAUUGUUAUUUUUCCAGGAAGAAAGGAAAGAGCAAGGUGUAGCUGAUUAGCAAGUUAAUUAUUUCAGUACCCCAAGGGUUCCAGCGUGGUGGGAUUUCCGCCAGUCCCCUUCGGGCUCUGCCUUCCCCUUGGGGGAGCAGAGGGAGGACUAUGUGGUGAAACGGACACCUCCCUCGGAGAGGAGCCAGCUCACAGCACCAGGCUCUGGAGGCUUCAGCAUGUGAAGACCAUACAGUCCUCUUUGGUGCUGGCGUUCGAGCAGAGUUUCCUGGGCAUCUAAAGCUCCUGACUGGGAGGCAGGAUUCUUGUCCUUGCAAACAGAGGACCCGCUGUGUCCCCGGCUUCUUCAGCGUCUUCAUCCAGCCUUCUUAGCGGCAGCCUCCUCCCCCGGGAUAUAUCCUCUGCCAACUGGUAGCGCCAGUGUCCAUCUGGCCAGGAGUGAGGAGCGGGUGUGUGCACGCGAGCGGUUCAUGUGGGUGUACGUGUGUGGCGCACAUGCGCAUGCG